rnacentral:rRNA from 1 species
GAUGAACGCUGGCGGCGUGCUUAACACAUGCAAGUCGAACGAAGCAUUUGCGACAGAUUUUUUCGGAAUGAAGUUGCUUAUGACUGAGUGGCGGACGGGUGAGUAACGCGUGGGUAACCUGCCUUGUACUGGGGGAUAGCAGCUGGAAACGGCUGGUAAUACCGCAUAAGCGCACAAUGUUGCAUGACAUGGUGUGAAAAACUCCGGUGGUAUAAGAUGGACCCGCGUCUGAUUAGCUAGUUGGUGAGAUAACAGCCCACCAAGGCGACGAUCAGUAGCCGACCUGAGCGGGUGACCGGCCACAUUGGGACUGAGACACGGUCCAGACUCCUACGGGAGGCAGCAGUGGGGAAUAUUGCACAAUGGAGCAAACUCUGAUGCAGCGACGCCGCGUGAGUGAAGAAGUAAUUCGUUAUGUACAGCUCUAUCAGCAGGGAAGAUAGUGACGGUACCUGACUAAGAAGCCCCGGCUAAAUACGUG